rnacentral:lncRNA from 1 species
AUGGAGACCCAUUCACAUUCCCUUUCCUGCAGGCAUCUGUUACUGGUUAUAAGGAAGAUAAAGACCUGGUUGAAGACAUGUAAACACAUAUUAGGAGACACACACAACAUCCUAGUAAAUGGAGACCCAUUCACAUUCCCUUUCCUGCAGGCAUCUGUUACUGGUUAUAAGGAAGAUAAAGACCUGGUUGAAGACAUGUAAACACAUAUUAGGGUGAAAUACACCUUUAAGGGAUGAAAAAUCUCUUUUGUAACAAGUAUUAGCACAGAGUUGCGCAUGUCUGCAUACUGUAUUUGCAUGGGCGGAUGUCGACACUUCAAGCUGAAGGUGUAAAUUCCAGUUCAAGGAGCAUGCUAAAAACAGAGCAUACUCACAGCUGUGGGAUUGUUGUCCUGAGUAUGUAUCUGGGAUCACUGGUGCUGCUGCAGCUAUACCCUAUUUUUAGCACGCUAGCUUAAUGAGAGCUAGUGCAGGUGUGUCUCCGUGAGCUGAAAUUCACACUUCCCAGCUCAAAGUGUAGACACUGACAUGGAUUGGGCCUGGCUCUUCUCUCACUUGGGGCCUGGAUCCUGUAUCCAUGUCAACAGGUUCCAGAUCCCACUCUGAAUCAGGGACAACUCUGCUGAAGUCAACAGAGUUACACAGGUGUGAGCAAGGGGUGAACAGGGUUUUGGGACAGUAUCAGCCCCACAUCCAUGUUUAAGCAAGAGUGUUUCACAAAACAAUGUUAAUUGAAGCAUUUUCAGGUUUCAAAGCAACCCAACAAACCUGUGAGGAGUAUGUCAGGAGUAAAACAUCCCCCCUGUAGUGUUGACAAUUUAUAUGUAGUGUUGACAAUUUAUAUGUGCUGGUGAACUAGAACCAAAGAGCAGAAGUGGCUAUGAAACACAACGAAACUGACUAGGCAGUCCAAGCUGAGUGAAGUAUAACAAUGAAACAAGCAGGGUGGAUGGUGAUAAGGAAAAUUUUGAUUCUGCCUUACUAACACAAAGUGGUGGUAAAUAAGACACGGAAGGAAACUGGUUUGUAAAAAUCUGGGGUAACAGUUUCAAAAGUGCCCAAGACACUUAGAUGCUUAUGCCCCAUUUUCAGAAGUAACUAGGCCAGAUUUUCAAAGGUAUUUAGGCACAUGAAGAUGGAGAUAGGCGCUUUUGAAAACCCCAUUUGGCACCUAGGCAUCCAUCUACAUCUUUAGGUGCUU